GAUGAACGCUGGCGGCGUGCCUAAUACAUGCAAGUCGAGCGAACAGAUAAGGAGCUUGCUCCUUUGACGUUAGCGGCGGACGGGUGAGUAACACGUGGGUAACCUACCUAUAAGACUGGGAUAACUUCGGGAAACCGGAGCUAAUACCGGAUAAUAUUUCGAACCGCAUGGUUCGAUAGUGAAAGAUGGUUUUGCUAUCACUUAUAGAUGGACCCGCGCCGUAUUAGCUAGUUGGUAAGGUAACGGCUUACCAAGGCGACGAUACGUAGCCGACCUGAGAGGGUGAUCGGCCACACUGGAACUGAGACACGGUCCAGACUCCUACGGGAGGCAGCAGUAGGGAAUCUUCCGCAAUGGGCGAAAGCCUGACGGAGCGACGCCGCGUGAGUGAUGAAGGUCUUCGGAUCGUAAAACUCUGUUAUUAGGGAAGAACAUACGUGUAAGUAACUGUGCACGUCUUGACGGUACCUAAUCAGAAAGCCACGGCUAACUACGUG
rnacentral:rRNA from 1 species